AGGGCUAAGGGGGCUAGCGGAUGGAAGUGCUAGUCUAAGGUCGUAGGAGGUUAUACAGGCAAAUCCGUAUAACAAUACUCCGAGAACUGAAAGGCUUUUUGAAGUCUUCGGAUGGAUAGAAGAACCCCUGAUGCCGUCGAGCCAAGAAAAGUUUCUAAGUUUAGCUAAUGUUGCCCGUACCGUAAACCGACACAGGUGGGUGGGAUGAGUAUUCUAAGGCGCGUGGAAGAACUCUCUUUAAGGAACUCUGCAAAAUAGCACCGUAUCUUCGGUAUAAGGUGUGGUUCGCUUCGUAUUAGGAUUUACUCCGAAAGCGAAGAAACUUACAACAAAGAGUCCCUCCCGACUGUUUACCAAAAACACAGCACUCUGCUAACUCGUAAGAGGAUGUAUAGGGUGUGACGCCUGCCCGGUGCUCGAAGGUUAAUUGAUGGGGUUAGCAUUAGCGAAGCUCUUGAUCGAAGCCCGAGUAAACGGCGGCCGUAACUAUAACGGUCCUAAGGUAGCGAAAUUCCUUGUCGGUUAAAUACCGACCUGCAUGAAUGGCGUAACGAGAUGGGAGCUGUCUCAAAGAGGGAUCCAGUGAAAUUGUAGUGGAGGUGAAAAUUCCUCCUACCCGCGGCAAGACGGAAAGACCCCGUGGACCUUUACUACAGCUUGACACUGCUAUUUGGAUAAGAAUGUGCAGGAUAGGUGGGAGGCUUUGAGUAUAUGACGCCAGUUGUAUAUGAGCCAUUGUUGAGAUACCACUCUUUCUUAUUUGGGUAGCUAACCAGCUUGAGUUAUCCUCAAGUGGGACAAUGUCUGGUGGGUAGUUUGACUGGGGCGGUCGCCUCCCAAAUAAUAACGGAGGCUUACAAAGGUUGGCUCAGAACGGUUGGAAAUCGUUCGUAGAGUAUAAAGGUAUAAGCCAGCUUAACUGCAAGACAUACAAGUCAAGCAGAGACGAAAGUCGGUCUUAGUGAUCCGGUGGUUCUGUGUGGAAGGGCCAUCGCUCAAAGGAUAAAAGGUACCCCGGGGAUAACAGGCUGAUCUCCCCCAAGAGCUCACAUCGACGGGGAGGUUUGGCACCUCGAUGUCGGCUCAUCGCAUCCUGGGGCUGGAGCAGGUCCCAAGGGUAUGGCUGUUCGCCAUUUAAAGCGGUACGCGAGCUGGGUUCAGAACGUCGUGAGACAGUUCGGUCCCUAUCUGCCGUGGGCGUAAGAAGAUUGAAGAGAUUUGACCCUAGUACGAGAGGACCGGGUUGAACAAACCACUGGUGUAGCUGUUGUUCUGCCAAGAGCAUCGCAGCGUAGCUAAGUUUGGAAAGGAUAAACGCUGAAAGCAUCUAAGCGUGAAGCCAACUCUAAGAUGAAUCUUCUCUAAGCUCUCUAGAAGACUACUAGUUUGAUAGGCUGGGUGUGUAAUGGAUGAAAGUCCUUUAGCUGACCAGUACUAAUAGAGCGUUUGGCUUAUCUUUAAUAAAGCAU
rnacentral:rRNA from 1 species